AUGCACGCUGGCGGCGUGCCUCAUCCAUGCAAGUCGAGCGAACGGACGAGAAGCUUGCUUUUCUGAUGUUAGCGGCGGACGGGUGAGUAACACGUGGAUAACCUACCUAUAAGACUGGGAUAACUUCGGGAAACCGGAGCUAAUAUCGGAUAAUAUUUUGAACCGCAUGGUUCAAAAGUGAAAGACGGUCUUGCUGUCACUUAUAGAUGGAUCCGCGCUGCAUUAGCUAGUUGGUAAGGUAACGGCUUACCAAGGCAACGAUGCAUAGCCGACCUGAGAGGGUGAUCGGCCACACUGGAACUGAGACACGGUCCAGACUCCUACGGGAGGCAGCAGUAGGGAAUCUUCCGCAAUGGGCGAAAGCCUGACGGAGCAACGCCGCGUGAGUGAUGAAGGUCUUCGGAUCGUAAAACUCUGUUAUUAGGGAAGAACAUAUGUGUAAGUAACUGUGCACAUCUUGACGGUACCUAAUCAGAAAGCCACGGCUAACUACGUG
rnacentral:rRNA from 1 species